UACGUAGGCAGCAAGCGUUGUUCGGAGUUACUGGGCGUAAAGGGUGUGUAGGCGGUUUCGUAAGUCUGGUGUGAAAUCUCCCGGCUCAACUGGGAGGGUGCGUCGGAAACUGCGAGGCUAGAGUGUGGGAUGGGAGAGUGGAAUUCCUGGUGUAGCGGUGAAAUGCGUAGAUAUCAGGAGGAACACCUGCGGUGUAGACGGCUCUCUGGACCACUACUGACGCUGAAACACGAAAGCGUGGGUAGCAAACAGG
rnacentral:rRNA from 1 species